rnacentral:rRNA from 1 species
AUGCACGACUCGCUGCCGCAGGCGGAAUUUACACGGAUGGUGGUGACCCUAUGGGCAGUUUUUAUGUUAGACAAAGGAGUUAGGGGAGGACCGAAGCGAGCCAACCUCAGGCAAUCUGCGUGGUUAGCCCCGCCCGAGGGCCAUGCAAAGAUGAAUGUGGACGCGGCAGUGUCCAUGCAAGGGGAGUGUGGUGCAGCGGGAGUGGUACGCCGAGACUGCAAUGGAAGAUUCUUGGGUGCUUUGGCUCUAAAACUCGAGUUCAUCACUGAUGCAAGUACACUGGAGGCGAUAGUUGUACGGGAAGGUCAAGCUCUGGCUGAGGAUCUAUAUGACUAUUCUAUUCAGAUUGCAACAGACUAUAAGAGGGUAGUAGAUGAUGUCCAGAAGAACUCGGCGGCUGGGUAUGGAGCUAUAGUGCAUGAGAUAAUACUUCGUGCAAACUCUUUUAUUUCAUGUAAAGGUUUGGCCGCCAUGUGUGGCUGGGCCAGCCAGGAGAUCAUGAUUUUCUACCUGUAA